rnacentral:rRNA from 1 species
AAUCAACGCUGGCGGCGUGCCUCAGACAUGCAAGUCGAACGCGAAAGGCCCCUUCGGGGGCGUGAGUAGAGUGGCGUCCGGGUGAGUAACACGUGGGUAAUCUACCUUCGGGUGGGGAAUAACAGUCGGAAACGACUGCUAAUACCGCAUAAUGCAGCGGCACCUAAUGGUGACAGUUGUUAAAGCGGGGGAUCGCAAGACCUCGCGCCUGAAGAGGAGCCCGCGGCGGAUAGCUAGUUGGCGAGGGUAACGGCCUACCAACGGCGACGAUCCGUAGCCGGCCUGAGAGGGCGGUCGGCCACACUGGCACUGACACACGGGCCAGACUCCUACGGGAGGC